CAUUUUCUCAUUUUUCUUCUCUCUCUUCAUCUCACUCUCUCUCGCUCUCAUCCGAACUCCGGCCACCCUCAAACACCAACCACCACCCUGAGAACCACCUUUUCCCCUAGUUUCCGGUUAAAGUUCAACCAGAAACUUCAAAUGUUCUUCCUAAACCUACCCAUAACACAUGAAACCCUUAGAACCCUAACAAUCUUACACUUACCUAGACGAGCCCUAGGGUUCCCCAUACGAACCCUAACAAUCCCAACCCAGAAACCCUAACAACUCCAAACCCAUAAACCUAGAAACCCUAACCAUAAACGAGGAACCCUAGCCCUAGAUUUUUCCAAAAACCUUCAAUCAUACCCAGAUCGAACCCUAAACUAUAAAUUAACCCUUCCUGAAACAAAAUUAGCCUAUCCUAAACCCAAGUCAAACACAAAAAAACUUUAAAUCUAUAAGUCAACCUCAAACAUAAUUCAUCAACAAAAAGGCGAAGUUCUCUGGUAAAAAAGGUAAUGACUUUCAAACUCUUCUUCUAUUGCUCUCCUUCCUCUUUGUCUUCCUGAUGAUUUCUCACUUCUUCUCUUCUUCUUCUCUUCUUCUUCUCUUCUUCUUCUAUUUUCUUCCUCUUAUUAUUUCUGUGUUAGGUGCUUUUGGCGAUGGUGGUGGAGGCUGAGUUCGAAGGGAUUAGGGUUUCAAUGUCAAACCCUAAUCACUAUUCAUCAGAGCUUUAAAUGGAGGUUGGGAGUUGCAGAAGCAAUCGUAUUUUUAGGGUUUCUUUCUUAUUUUUUUAUCCUUUUUCUUUUAUUUGAUCAUAUAGAUUAAUUUUUAGGUUUAAGCAUUAAUUAGAUUGUUUACUUUAGGAAGUUUUAGUGGUAAUUAGAUUCAUUGCUUAAUUCAAUUAGAAAUUAGGUUUUGAUUUGAUUAUGUAUUUGGUCCGAUUUUACUUGUAAUUUUUAUUUCUCCAUGUAUCUGCAAUCAAAAUUGGAAAGGUUUGAUUAAUUUCUAAUUAUAAAGUUUUGAUAUGAAUUUAGAUACUCUAUUAGCGCAUUUAAGGUUUUUGAGAAUUGAG
rnacentral:lncRNA from 1 species